GGUUAAGUGAAUAAGGGCGCACGGUGGAUGCCUUGGCACUAGGAGCCGAUGAAGGACGGGACUAACACCGAUAUGCUUUGGGGAGCUGUAAGUAAGCUAUGAUCCAGAGAUUUCCGAAUGGGGGAACCCAAUAUCUUUUAUAGGAUAUUACUUUUCAGUGAAUACAUAGCUGAUUAGAGGUAGACGCAGAGAACUGAAACAUCUUAGUACCUGCAGGAAGAGAAAGAAAAUUCGAUUCCCUGAGUAGCGGCGAGCGAAACGGGAAGAGCCCAAACCAACAAGCUUGCUUGUUGGGGUUGUAGGACUCCAAUAUGGUAGUCUGUUAGUAUAGUUGAAGGAUUUGGAAAAUUCCGCUAAAGAGGGUGAAAGCCCCGUAGACGAAAUGCUGACAACACCUAGGAGGAUCCUGAGUACGGCGGAACACGAGAAAUUCCGUCGGAAUCCGCGGGGACCAUCCCGCAAGGCUAAAUACUCCCUAGUGACCGAUAGUGAACCAGUACCGUGAGGGAAAGGUGAAAAGCACCCCGGAAGGGGAGUGAAAUAGAUCCUGAAACCGUGUGCCUACAACAAGUCAAAGCUCGUUAAUGAGUGAUGGCGUGCCUUUUGUAGAAUGAACCGGCGAGUUACGAUUGCAUGCGAGGUUAAGUCGAAGAGACGGAGCCGCAGCGAAAGCGAGUCUGAAUAGGGCGAAUGAGUAUGUAGUCGUAGACCCGAAACCAUGUGAUCUACCCAUGUCCAGGUUGAAGGUGCGGUAAAACGCACUGGAGGACCGAACCCACGUACGUUGAAAAGUGCGGGGAUGAGGUGUGGGUAGCGGAGAAAUUCCAAACGAACUUGGAGAUAGCUGGUUCUCUCCGAAAUAGCUUUAGGGCUAGCCUCGGAAUUGAGAAUGAUGGAGGUAGAGCACUGUUUGGACUAGGGGCCCAUCUCGGGUUACCGAAUUCAGAUAAACUCCGAAUGCCAUUCAUUUAUAUCCGGGAGUCAGACUGCGAGUGAUAAGAUCCGUAGUCGAAAGGGAAACAGCCCAGACCACCAGCUAAGGUCCCAAAAUAUAUGUUAAGUGGAAAAGGAUGUGGGGUUGCACAGACAACUAGGAUGUUGGCUUAGAAGCAGCCACCAUUUAAAGAGUGCGUAAUAGCUCACUAGUCGAGUGACCCUGCGCCGAAAAUGUACCGGGGCUAAACAUAUUACCGAAGCUGUGGACUACACCAUUAGGUGUAGUGGUAGGAGAGCGUUCUAAGGGCGUUGAAGGUCGAUCGUGAGGACGGCUGGAGCGCUUAGAAGUGAGAAUGCCGGUAUGAGUAGCGAAAGACAGGUGAGAAUCCUGUCCACCGUAUGACUAAGGUUUCCUGGGGAAGGCUCGUCCGCCCAGGGUUAGUCGGGACCUAAGCCGAGGCCGAUAGGCGUAGGCGAUGGACAACAGGUUGAUAUUCCUGUACCAGUUGUUUUUGUUUGAGCAAUGGAGGGACGCAGUAGGCUAAGGAAUGCAUGCGAUUGGAAGUGCAUGUCCAAGCAAUGAGUCUUGAGUAGAGUUAAAUGCUUUACUCUUUAAGGACAAGUUGUGACGGGGAGCGAAAUAAUAGUAGCGAAGUUCCUGAUGUCACACUGCCAAGAAAAGCUUCUAGUGAGAAAACAACUGCCCGUACCGUAAACCGACACAGGUAGUCGAGGAGAGUAUCCUAAGGUGAGCGAGCGAACUCUCGUUAAGGAACUCGGCAAAAUGACCCCGUAACUUCGGGAGAAGGGGUGCUGACUUCGGUCAGCCGCAGUGAAUAGGCCCAAGCGACUGUUUAUCAAAAACACAGGUCUCUGCAAAAUCGUAAGAUGAAGUAUAGGGGCUGACGCCUGCCCGGUGCUGGAAGGUUAAGAGGAUGGGUUAGCUUCGGCGAAGCUCAGAAUUGAAGCCCCAGUAAACGGCGGCCGUAACUAUAACGGUCCUAAGGUAGCGAAAUUCCUUGUCGGGUAAGUUCCGACCCGCACGAAAGGCGUAACGAUUUGGGCACUGUCUCAACGAGAGACUCGGUGAAAUUUUAGUACCUGUGAAGAUGCAGGUUACCCGCGACAGGACGGAAAGACCCCAUGGAGCUUUAC
rnacentral:rRNA from 1 species